rnacentral:rRNA from 1 species
UUACCAACCCUUGACAUCCCCGGACCGCCGCAGAGAUGCGGUUUCCACUUCGGUGGCCGGGUGACAGGUGCUGCAUGGCUGUCGUCAGCUCGUGUCGUGAGAUGUUCGGUUAAGUCCGGCAACGAGCGCAACCCACGUCCCCAGUUGCCAGCAUUCGGUUGGGCACUCUGUGGAAACUGCCGAUGAUAAGUCGGAGGAAGGUGUGGAUGACGUCAAGUCCUCAUGGCCCUUACGGGUUGGGCUACACACGUGCUACAAUGGUGGUGACAAUGGGUUAAUCCCCAAAAGCCAUCUCAGUUCGGAUUGUCGUCUGCAACUCGACGGCAUGAAGUUGGAAUCGCUAGUAAUCGCGUAACAGCAUGACGCGGUGAAUACGUUCCCGGGCCUU